GGACAAGAAGACCCUAAGAAUUUUAAAAUUAUUAAUUAUAAAAUAUUUAAUAGUUAAUAAUUUUUGGUUGGGGCAACUAAAAAAUAUUAUAAACUUUUUUUUAAUAAAAUGACCCAUUAUUAAUGAUAAUUUGGAAAAAAUACUCUAGGGAUAACAGCGUAAUAAUUUUUGAUAGAACAUAUAGACAAAAUAGUUUGCGACCUCGAUGUUGGAUUAGGAUUCUUUUUUAAUGAAGAUGUUAAAAAAAGAAGUUUGUUCAACUUUUGAAGUCCUACUUGAUCUGAGUUCAGAC
rnacentral:rRNA from 1 species